rnacentral:tRNA from 1 species
UCCUGGGUGGUGCAGACAAUUAACACGCUUGGCUGCUAACCGAGAGGUUGGAGGUUCAAGUCCACCCAGAGGUG